rnacentral:rRNA from 1 species
CAGUAGCCGCGGUAUUACAGAGGGUGCGAGCGUUAAUCGGAUUUACUGGGCGUAAAGCGUGCGUAGGCGGCUUUUUAAGUCGGAUGUGAAAUCCCUGAGCUUAACUUAGGAAUUGCAUUCGAUACUGGGAAGCUAGAGUAUGGGAGAGGAUGGUAGAAUUCCAGGUGUAGCGGUGAAAUGCGUAGAGAUCUGGAGGAAUACCGAUGGCGAAGGCAGCCAUCUGGCCUAAUACUGACGCUGAGGUACGAAAGCAUGGGGAGCAAAUGGGAUUAGAUACCCCAGUAGUCCCUGUCUCUUAUAU